rnacentral:rRNA from 1 species
CCGACCGUUCCUGCGGUUGGGACGAAAGGUGGCCUCUCUAUAGAAGCUGCCGCUGGGGGAUGGGCUCGCGCACCAUUAGCUUGUUGGUAGGGUAACGGCCUACCAAGGCUACGAUGGGUAGCUGGUCUGAGAGGACGGCCAGUCACACUGGAACUGAGACACGGUCCAGACUCCUACGGGAGGCAGCAGUGGGGAAUAUUGCACAAUGGGGGAAACCCUGAUGCAGCAACGCCGCGUGCGGGAUGAAGGUCUUCGGGUCGUAAACCGCUGUCAGGAGGGAAGAAAUCGCCCCGGUAAAUAGCCGGGGUGGAUGACGGUACCUCCAGAGGAAGCCCCGGCUAACUCCGUGCCAGCAGCCGCGGUAAGACGGAGGGGGCGAGCGUUGUUCGGAAUUAUUGGGCGUAAAGCGCGCGUAGGCGGUCGGGUCAGUCGGACGUGAAAGCCCAGGGCUCAACCCUGGAAGGGCGUUCGAUACUGCCCGACUUGAGUACGGGAGAGGAGAGCGGAAUUCCCAGUGUAGCGGUGAAAUGCGUAGAUAUUGGGAGGAACACCAGUGGCGAAGGCGGCUCUCUGGACCGUUACUGACGCUGAGGUGCGAAAGCUAGGGGAGCAAACGGGAUUAGAUACCCCGGUAGUCCUAGCCGUAAACGAUGGGCACUAGGUGUUGGGGGUAUCGACCCCUCCAGUGCCGGAGCUAACGCAUUAAGUGCCCCGCCUGGGGAGUACGGUCGCAAG